GAUGAAGAACGCAGCGAAAUGCGAUACGUAGUGUGAAUUGCAGAAUUCAGUGAAUCAUCGAAUCUUUGAACGCACAUUGCGCCCUUUGGUAUUCCAAAGGGCAUGCCUGUUCGAGCGUCAUUGCUGCCCUCAAGCACGGCUUGUGUGUUGGGCCUCCGUCCUCCUCCCGGGGGACGGGCCCGAAAGGCAGCGGCGGCACCGCGUCCGGUCCUCGAGCGUAUGGGGCUUCGUCACCCGCUCUUGUAGGCCCGGCCGGCGCUUGCCGACACAUCAAUCUUUUUUCCAGGUUGACCUCGGAUCAGGUAGGGAUACCCGCUGAACUUAAGCAUAUCAAUAAGCGGAGGA
rnacentral:misc_RNA from 1 species